rnacentral:lncRNA from 1 species
GAGAGCUUCUUUCCAUCUUUGAACUUCCUCCAUCUUCACCUUAUCUUCUCUGAAUCUAUUUUCGUGUUCUGCAAAUGCUUUCUCAUAACAUCCUUUCUGGUUGCGCACCGUCGUAGGCUCAACAUCAUAAAAUAUAGGUAUAACAGGUCUUACUGAAGUUUGACAGCAAUUAAGUAUCUCUACCAGUUCACGUAAGCACCAAGUGGAGGAAGCAUAGUUCUUUGAUAAGACAACAACGAAAACUUGAGAGCCCUGAAUAGCUUGUAGAAGCUCGGGUGCUAUGAAAUCACCUUUUUUGAUACAUUCGUCAUCUUUGAAGGCAACAAUGCCUUGUCGAUGGAGAGCUCCAAAGAGAAAACUAGUGAAGUUGUUGCGCGUGUCUUCACCACGGAAGCUGACAAAUACAUCGUAUGCAUUAGAUGAAGAAGAGAUGCGAUGGAUGAUGGCGUCGGACGCUGGUACGGAAGGUCCGAUAGGAGCUGUUGGGUCAGACACGGUCAUGCAGUCGGACAUGCCGGACAUGAUCCGGUCCGGUUCUUUGACAAACCGGAGGAUACGGCGGAGAAUGUUGAAGACAGGCGAAUACAUUUAUUCAGGAAAUCAGAAAGCAAACUGAGUCCCACUGAAUUCCUGGAAGUGAGAGAUAAUUGUUAUUAGGGCAAGUAAGGGAGUGGCCUGACUUUAUGGAGAAAGGAAUUCUAAAGUUAACGCGUUGAAUUUUUGCAGUCUCUUUCUGUGAUUUUUUCGUUGAAGCUUCUUACAAAAAUCGUUAACGCGUUUGUUUUUGUUUUGUCUUUUUGUGAAGAAUGAUGGGAGCCACCAUGUUUGUCCUUCCUCAUACAUUGUCAUAUGCUUUUCCGUCAACUUGCCCCGGACAUCAUAAUGACACAUAUUCAAGAAAUCCUUUUUAAAAAGAAGAUCCACAUGCACCCAAACUGAAGGAGUAAGGAAGUGCAUUGAUAGGGGAUCUUCUUCCUUCACUACACGAAAUACUGAUCUGGAAAAAAACUAAAACAGGGGAUCUCCAUAGUCAUUCUCUAAUCCUAUUUUUAUUUUGGAUCUGUUUUUAUUUUCAUUUCAUACACCUUUCUAUGAUAACCGCUCCGAUGUUUUGCUUAUUUUCCUUAUUUUACAUUUUAACUACUGUUGUCCACUCUCAUUUUUAAUAAGUAUUUAAUAUUAUAAAACAAAAAGAUAAAAAAAAUAAUAAAAAAAAGAGAUAAAACAUUAAAAUAACUAAAAUUGGUUUGUUAUGUUUAUUGUCUUUAAUAUUUCUUUUAAUAAUUAAAUAAAUAAAGUUUCUUUAUUUUCUAUUUUAUUUUGAUCAUUUAUAUGUUUUUUUUUCAUUUAAUAAAAUUUAUAGAAUAAAAGAUAUUAAAAAAUGUAAUUUUAUAUGUGCCAAUUGAGGUCUAACAUGUCUUACAGGUUCACAAAUUUCUACCUUUAACAAGAAAGUGGGCCGACAAAGAAGAAGAUAUCCUGUCUUUAAAAAUCCACCUCUUAAAAAUUGGAUUUCAUUAAAUAAAUCGCAUUUAUUUGAGAAUCUAUCUCGCUCUGUCAAAAGAGAAUUUCGGUGGGAAGUUAAAUAUCAUCUCAUUAGCCUUGUAUAUAUUUAAAAGGUCUGUCGUUAAUUAUUUAAACGUCGUUUGCAAAAAUGAUUAUCAUGCGAUUGUACCUAUCAUCUUAAUGCUCAUUACGCAAAAUCAAAAUAUCAUAUCAAAAUACCAAAGAAAAAAUAUAUCCAAAAAUCUAAAAACAUAAACAUUCUCAUACAAUCGGUGAGUCAAAAUUAUGCAAUCCUUGAUUCUCCAUCAAGAGUUGAGAUACGUAGGAGCAAAGCGAGUCUUUAUCAGGUUCACCUCCCAAACAUCCAAAAUUAUCCAUUAUCAUUUUCAAUCAUAUUUUUCAAACAAAUUUCUAAAUCAUUUUCAAACAUAUUUUUCAAAAGAACUACGUAACCCUACUUUCUAUGAUGACUGAGAAUAUAUAGGUCAAUCCUUGUCGGGCUUCGUAAAAUUAAAAAAUAUUGUUUUGUUUCCUAUGUCUUUUUGUAUUAUUAUUUUCAGGAAAAAUAAUCAUUUUGAAAAUCACAUCAAGUUUGUACAUUUAAUUAAAGGUACUGUCUUGGAGAAAACAUUGAAGGGUUUUAAUACCUUCUCUACAUGUAAUCGACUUCCGAACUCAAAACUCUGAUUUCGUAAACCAAGCCUUAUUUUUAUGGCUUUUUCAUAGUUUUUUAGGAUAAACUAUAGUGGCGACUCAAAACUCUGAUUUUCGAACUUCUUUAUUAUUUUAAAAGUUUCGCUAAUACUUCGUCGUUAUCCCGGUUGCGACAUCCCCCACAGUUACGGCGAGACUUCAAUGGGUCUUGACCAUCAACGAGGUCAACGACAACCGUCUCUUCACCGCCAUUUCCUCUUCAUCGCCACACCCAAAACAGAGUUUCUUCUUUCUCCCCCACAAUUUCGAUAAGACUCUGAUGGGCCUUUAAUAUCAACAUGCGUAUCACCCCCUCCCCUUCUUUCUCUAUUUUGUUUCUUUCUCGAUUUGUAUCCAUUCUGAGGGUGAUUGAGGCUGAUUGGGUGCAUUCUAAUGGGUUGUNGCUACCAAAUAGAGAUGGUGAAGCUGAUAAUUCCUCGCGACAAUUGGCAUCAUUUCUGAACUGUGGCAAAUUGUGUUUAAUUGUUUGAGAUGAUUAUGUAAUUUGUUGGAUUGUUGGAUGAUUUAUUUGAUUGUGCAAUUCGUUUAUUGGAUUGUUCGAUGAUUUAUUUGAUUGUGAAAUUCGUUUGUUGUAUUGUUGAACUUUAAUUUGUAUGCUUUUAUUAUACACACAAACAUUUUGGACAAAAAAUCCCUAAUUUAGCAUAACACAUUUUAUUUUAUUUAAAUUUUAGUUUUUUAAAACUUAAAAUAAUUAAAUUUCACAUAAUGUAACCUAACUUUGCCACAUGCUUCACAUUUGAAAAGUCAGCAUGUCACCCCACUGUCGUCUUAACGCCAUCUCAUUGCAAUCUUAACGUCGUUAACUCAAAUUGACGACAAUGGUGCAAUUGAAUCAAUUUUACGCCAUGAAGGAUCAAAUCUCAAGACAAGAUUCGUCCAACGGUCAUAUUAUCAUCAAAUCUCAAGAUAAACAUUGUGUAAAUGACUAUAUCAUCAAAGGUGUAUAAAUAGAUGAUCAAGAGAAGAAGAAAGAUAAUGACGAUGAUAGGAAGAAAAAUAGCAUGAAGACAAAUUAUCAUUAGAGUUGAGCAAGAAAUUUUUUUUGAGCUAUUAGAGUUAAUUCCUUUUACACAAGAGUAGAGAGAAAGAGAAGAGCUCAAGGAAAAAGAAAAAAUCUCUCGGGCUUCAUACAAAUUUGCUAAAUUUGGAGCCAUUUCUACAAAUGUUAGAAAUUGAGAAAACAAAACCCAUACAAAUUUGUUUUUCCUUGAAAUAGUCUAGUUCUAAUCUUUAUCUAUAUCAUUUUUCUUCGUAGAAGAUUCAGUUAAACUUUUGAAUUCUGAAAAUUUGAAAAGAAAAAAUAAGGAUUUAAAUAGCUUUUGGGUAACCAGGGACCAUAUAGUUUAAGAAAAUAUUUUUUUAAUAAGAAUAGCAUUUAUUUUCUUGAUUUCCGUGAUCAGAAUAACAAAAAUAUGUGUUCGAUUUUAACUAUUUUUAAUAUUUAAAAAAUUAUGAAAUAAUUUUAUCAAUUUUGAAUAAUAUGAAUAUAUUUGUAUUUGUAUUAAACAUUUUAUUAAAUAACUUAUGCUAAAUGGUGAUAGAAUAAUCUAACAGUCAUAAUAGAAUCCAUCAUCUUGAUAAAGGGUGGUGAUAUUUUGAAUCCACUAAAUAAAAACUUCUCACUUAACUACUUAAAAUAAUAAUAAUAUUUUAAUCACAGUUAUUUUACUUUUUAAUUUAAAAUUUCAAUAAUAAGUGAAUUGUGAAGUGGUCCUAUUUUAUUUGAAGGAUGUCAAAGUAUUAUUUUUCCUUGACAAAACCAACAGUAAAUACAAUCCAGAAUGCAAACAUGUAACUUUUGGCUCAGAAUCUGUACGUUGUCAUGUAUAUGUAAUUUUGUUUCAUACUGUACAGCUCUUAAGAUUUUCUCUUAGCUUCUUUACCAAAUUAAGUGUUUUAUAUAAUUCAUAUAUGAAUUUAUAGCUUUUGAAAAUCUUAAAAGAGCUCAUUUCAAGUGCAUCUCUUCUUUAUGCUUUUGAAAACCUUUAGUACAUAUCAUACUAGAAGCAUAUUAAAUAAAUUAUCAUAAGAAAAUGUUGCAUCCAACUGUUGCUUGAAAACUGCUUCCAUUCCAACACAACUUAUGAUGACCAUUUUUUGUGCAAAAUGCAACCUCCUCAUAGACCCCUGUGAUAUUACAACACAAUAAGCAAAAUGCUAGAAUGAAUAGAAAGCAACGAAAUCCUAUAAAAUGUGAACAUCACAAAGACCAAAGGCGUAAGCAUUUAAGCAAAGGAAAUUAAGUGGAAUAAAAUCCAGAGGUUAGCAUCAUAUAAUAUUAUAAUAUGACUUUGAUUAAAAUGAAGUUAUUACAUAAUAACAUUUUCAGUUCCAAAGUCAAUGACACCAACUUGAAAUCACGACAGCAACAAAAUCACUAGCAUGAGUGGAUACAAACAACNCAUAAUGUAAGCACAUGUGAUCUCUUCUAAAAUCCAUUGGAAUUUGUUCAUUUUUUAGUUCGUCUAUAGAAACCUUUCCAUAAUGUAAGCACAUGUGAUCUCUUCUAAAAUCCAUUGGAAUAUGUCUAUUGUGUAGACGAAAUAUUACGCAACACAAAACACCAAUGAAAUUAUUGUCAUGCGGAACGGGAGGUGGAUCAACGAUUAGGUUUUUUUCGUCCAGGUAUUCUUGGUCCACGUUCACAAACUCAUUGUUGAACAAGCUCGGUAUUUGACUUCCAGGCAUAAUAGUUACACGAGCUAUCCAUUGGUAUUGGUAGGUCGCCUUGUACCAGCAGAGUUAUUCGUCAGUAGUUAUUCUGAUAAAAGAAAAAUUAAAAUGCAAGAGGAAGGAAAGAGCAUCCACACCUCAAAAAUUUGUAUUGCCCAUGAAAAACUCUUUGUAAUGCACUGUUUAAUCUCAACUAAUUCUGGGCAGCCGAAAAUGAUAAAUCCUGCAACUUUCAAAAACAUUGAUGAAGAUCUCGUGACAGUUCGUGAAGGGAGAUCAGGCAAGUAUUUCAAUCGCUUGCAAUCCUGUAAGUUUAAAUAAUACAGUCUCAAAAGGUCCUUCAGGUUAGGCAAUCUAACAAAAUUGUUUUCCUCUAAAUUUAGGCUCUCUAAGCAACCUAACUUUCCAAUGUAAUCAGGAAUUUGAACUAAGUUACAGAACCUUAGAUUGAGUUCACACAAACAAGAGAGAGGAGAGGAGGGCGACAAACAUCUGAUCAAGUUCUCUGUGUUCAACCAAUUACUACCUAUUAUUGAACAAUAGCUGACAUCCAGAUAUUCAAGAGAUUUCAGGCCCAAUAUAGUAUUAGAUAAGAUUACUAGUUUUUUUGCAGUAUCUCAAAUUCAAAAGAACAAGCUUUCUCAGACUCUCAAUCGAUGGAUUCAGUUUUUGGAGCUGUCCACAUCCUUCAAGAUGUAUCGAUUGAAGAUUUGGGGCCUCUGUUACAUCUGGCAUCUCAACUAAACUUUGGCAAUGCAAGAGAUCCAAACGCUUCAAAUUGGGUAACGACUACAUAGAUGGAAAAAAAAAAUUAAUAAUGACACUUGGGUUUUCUUUAAUUUCUUUUCUCCAUAAAUUAAUCAAAGAAUAAAGGAAUUAAAAAUAAAAAGUUUGUCAUUCAUUUUGUUUAUUUUUAAAAGAAGUACAAAUAAAAAAUUAAUUUACACUACCUUUGUGCCUUCCCAUAAUCGUUGAAUACUACUCCAACGCAGCUUUAACUCAACUAGUUUGUGUGGUUGAAAACUUUGAGGCAAACAUUCAAACGGAUAAUUAUACCAAGUAAGAUAUCCUAGUUCAUUCAAAAGAUGAUUCAGACUUCCCGAAAAGUUAACGUUCGCCUUCACGUUCUCAACAUAAAGCAACUUCAGGUGUUUAAUUUUUGAUAGACCAUCCGCCUUGAUUGUUUUAUCUGUAAAUCAGUUGCAUGAUUCCGUAAAUUUAGAGGCUAUAUAUUAGGCAGUUUCUCAUUCAAUAAAACAGAGGAAUUUCUUCUUUCACACUACAACGUUUACGUACCUGGGAUUUCAACAUCAUCCUCAUCCUCAUCCAGGUGAUAUCUAAGAACUAUUGCCUCAAGGUUUCGAGUUGUCUAUAACAUCGCACAUUGUUAGUGUUAGAUCUGAAGAUAGGAAUAACUCUAAAUGUCCUCUGUUAGAGAAUGAAUUUUAUUAAUGCAAAAGGGUUGGCUUAUAUAAGCCACUAUAUCUAAAUGGCUACCAAAGCGGAAUAAAAAACUCAAUUAUCUCCUAAAUAAUAGGACAAUCUAACAGCUUUUAAUACUGCAGCUUUAUUAACUGACACGUAAAUAUAUUAACUGACACACGUAAAUAAUAACUUAAACUAACAGUUAGAUGCAUGUUUUGAAGUAUUUACAAAUUCUAAAGUAAUUGCAAUCGAAAAUUUAUAAUCAAACAUGUAAAUUUUACCUUGUUCUCUGACAUAGCAUCAUGGAAAUCUUUGUAUGUCCACAGCCUACUCCACUUUCUAGGCACUUUAGGUGAUACUUCCCGAACAAUACACUUCCCCAAAUCCACUAGCAAGCUAUGCAUACGUAUGUACCCUUUGAAAUCUUUGGUAAUGAGUGAUUUAUCAAUGAGAACCUGUAUGCUAUCUUCAGGAUGAAAUCCACGAAAAUUUAGAAUUUCCUUCACAUCUUUUUCAUAAUAAGAAUUGAAGAAGCAAGCAAUAUCCAAAAAUGUUUGUUUGUAUUUUUCUUCCAGUUGAAUAUAACUUAUGCGCAAAAUACCCAUAAUAUUUUUACUUUUAUUUUCUUUUAGCCCUUCCAAUACACUUUUCCAAUGUGACAAACUUCGGCCAAGCAAAGAUGACCCAAUUGUUUCAAUUGCCAAGGGAUGUCCUUCAACAUGUGAUAGUAUCUCACGUGCCAACUUUUCAUAAUCGCUCAAAAUNUAAUUANCUUUGAAAGCAUUUCUACAAAAUAGUUGGAUAGCAUCUUUCCUAUUCAACGGUCGAACUUGAUAAAUAUCAUCCACUCCAUGUAUCUUCAAUAUUUGUUCAUCCCUAGAAACUAUGAUGAUUCUGCUCCCUUUACCUAAGCAUUCUCGCAACAAAUUGUCUCUAUUUCCGCUAAAUAUCCUCAGUUGUUGAACUUCAUCAACGUUGUCAAAAACUAUAAGUGCCUUAGCAUUGUUCAGUUUGGACUGCACCAAACAUGUUCCCUCGAUAACAUUGCAAAUCUCUACAUUUUUCUCAUUUAGAGUCUGAGAAAUUAAUUGCUUUUAUAAGCCCAACGAACGAGAAUCUAGAAAUAUUUUGCUUACAUCAUCAAUAAAACAACGAUAAUUAUAUUGAUGACAAAUUCUUUCAUAUAAAGCCCGAGCAAGAGUUGUCUUUCCUAUGCCACCCAUCCCACUUAUUCCGACAACUCGAACAUCAUUAAGGAGAUCGAAAUGCAAAAUAUUUCCUAAGUCUUGAAGUCGAUCCUCUAUCCCAACUAGUUCAUCCCUAGGAAGAUUUAAAAUUUUUGGUCUCAAAUUAUUUAUUAUCUCUUGAACAAUUUUUUCAAUCUGUUCAUUUUGUGGCCUGAAAAUUUAAAUGAAAUGAAGACAAAACAUCAGGACAUGAAAAAAGUAUAUACAUUUUUAGGAUAAAAUAAUAACGUAAAAUAUUUUAACUCUCAAACUAUUAUUUUCAUUAAAUUAAUAUAUAUUUAGACUCAAUUACCUCUGUUUUUAGAUAAUGACAACACAAAUCAUAAUUACCAUAAAGAAAAUCUUAGAAAGCUAUAAGAUAUUGUAAUUAGUCUAUAAGCAAAAAUAGCUAAAAAGAUGCAUAAUACAAUAUAUAUAUAUAUAUAUAUAUAUAUAGGCCAUUACUAAUUAUUGAAUUGAGAGAGAAGAGUGCUCACUUAUUUCCGAUUUCCGAACCAGAGAUAUCGGCCACUUUUCUGAGAGCUUCUUUCCAUGUUUGAACUUCCUCCAUCUUCACCUUAUCUUCUCUGAAUCUAUUUUCGUGUUCUGCAAAUGCUUUCUCAUAACAUCCUUUCUGAUAGCGCACCGUCGUAGGCUCAACAUCAUAAAAUAUAGGUAUAACAGGUCUUGCUGAAGUUUCACAGCAAUUAAAUAUCUCAACCAGUUCACGUAAGCACCAAGUGGAGGAAGCAUAGUUCUUUGAUAAAACAACAACGAAAACUUGAGAGCCCUGAAUGGCUUGUAGGAGCUCGGGUGCUAUGAAAUCACCUUUUCUAAUACAUUGGUCAUCUUUGAAGGCAAGAAUGCCUUGUCGACAAAGAGCUCCAAAGAGAAAACUAGUGAAGUUGUUGCGCGUGUCUUCACCACGGAAGCUGACAAAUACGUCGUAUGCAUGAGAUGAAGAAGAAGUUUGAUGGAUGAUGGCGUGGGAGGAAUGCCACUGCGACCUUGCCCCUGAGAGCAUUGGAAGAAGCCGAAUCCCACAAAGUCCGAAAGUUUGUUCUAUGAAGAAUGAAAGUGAGAGAUAAUUGUUAUUAGGGCAAGUAAGGGAGUGGCCUGACUUUAUGGAGAAAGGUAAGAGAGGUAAAAUGAAGUAAGACAAACACAGUAUCUUCGUACUAUUGUCUCUGUGGUGGAAUUCUAAAGUUAACGCGUUUCAUUUUUGCACUCUCUUUCUGUGAUUUUUUCGUUGAAGCUUCUUACAUAAAUAUUGUCUAAGAAUUGUCUAAGAUUUAUAGUCAUUAGUGAAAGCAUAAAUUGCUGCGCAAAUGCAGGCAGACAGUCAAGAAAUAUAGAUCCGAAUCCUGCGGUUGGUAAUGCGUUUCAUUUUUGCGUUUUUUUAGAAGCUUCUCAGAAAAAUCAUUUCUAAGAAUUCUGACUAUAAUAAUAGCCAAAUCGUAUUCUACAACUUCUUAUCUA